rnacentral:rRNA from 1 species
GCGCACGGGUGAGUAACACGUGAAUCAUCUACCUUCGAGUGGGGAAUAACUGAGAGAAAUCUUAGCUAAUACCGCAUAAUACCUACGGGUCAAAGCAGCAAUGCGCUUGAAGAGGAGUUCGCGGCAGAUUAGUUAGUUGGCGGGGUAAUGGCCCACCAAGACGAUGAUCUGUAUCCGGCCUGAGAGGGCGCACGGACACACUGGAACUGAAACACGGUCCAGACUCCUACGGGAGGCAGCAGUGGGGAAUUUUGCGCAAUGGGGGAAACCCUGACGCAGCAACGCCGCGUGGAGGAUGAAAUCCCUUGGGAUGUAAACUCCUUUCGAUCGGGAAGAUAAUGACGGUACCGAGAGAAGAAGCCCCGGCUAACUUCGUGCCAGCAGCCGCGGUAAUACGAGGGGGGCAAGCGUUGUUCGGAAUUAUUGGGCGUAAAGGGUGCGUAGGCGGUUUGAUAAGUCACAUGUGAAAUCUCUGGGCUUAACCCAGAGGCUGCUGCCGAAACUGCCGUGCUAAGUGUGAGAGAGGCGAGUGGAAUUACGGGUGUAGCGGUGAAAAU